UACGAAGGGGGCUAGCGUUGUUCGGAGUUACUGGGCGUAAAGAGUGCGUAGGCGGUCCUGUAAGUUUGGUGUGAAAUCUCCCGGCUCAACUGGGAGGGUGCGCCGAAGACUGCAGGGCUUGAGUAUGGGAGAGGUAAGCGGAAUUCCUGGUGUAGCGGUGAAAUGCGUAGAUAUCAGGAGGAACACCUGUGGUGUAGACAGCUUACUGGACCAUCACUGACGCUGAGGCACGAAAGCUAGGGGAGCAAACAGG
rnacentral:rRNA from 1 species